UGGACUUGGAGUGGGCUCAUGCUGAAAAGCGAUAACGUCCGGUCAUGCAUAGCUCUAAAAGUUUAAAAAUUGUUAGAAAAUUCAGCAAUGCUGCCGUAGAAGAAUCGUACUCGAACCACUUGAUCUCCGAGAAAAGAAGUGGAUUUCACUGCUUUCCAAUUGGCAUGGGAAUCUGCGCAUUUUUUCAAAUCCUUACUCAUCUCUUGUGGUGGACGGAUACAAGUUUUCAUGCAGAAUCGCAACGUCUCAUAGGGGCGGAUAACAAGGAGAAAGAUGACAGUCAGCACUCACUCUUUGUAGCCGUCGUGAUGGGAAUGUGCAGUCUUGGCGUUCUUGUAGUUGUUCUUUUGCUGCAAAAUAAAAAGCUGAUCAGUUCUCCUAUAUGUCCUCCGGUGGUGGUGCUAAUUUGGACGGCCAUGAUUCUGGUGAAAUUUUAUUAACUAAAAAUUUUAGUAACAAAAAUGGUAUGACUUAAAGCAUAAAAUUCUUGGAUAAGGUUCCGAUAUCAGUUCGGAGCGAUAACUUUCCCCUCCGCGUAGGCCUAGGUUGGGUCAUGUUGGAGUCUUUUCUAAUUUGGGUCACACUUCCGGUCAAAAUGCCUGUGGCGGCUCUGUACUCUGGUAGCAUUGGAAUUUGUCACACCGUGCUGGUCGCCUGGAAGGGGAGCAAACAACCCAUGUUGGUCAACCAGCUUUUAGCCAAUGUCAUUCUUCUCGGAGCGAGUAAUCUGCUGGGAAUUAUGGCAUUUCACUUUAACGAUACGAGACAGAGGUUGGCAUUUUUAGACACGCGUCAGUCCCUCGAAGUCAAAGAU